CACACACACACACACACACACCUCUAUGAACUUGUGUGGCAUAAAAAAGUGGACAGCAAGGAAGUUGUUUGUCUGGAAACAAGACAAAAAACAAUAUCUAUAUAAUUCUAAUAAUUUUUUCAAUGUUAUCAACUGCAUAGUCUUCUACUGACUGACUGACUAUGUGUGUGUUUUUUAGUGUUGAGCAUGGAGGAGAAUCCAGGAUUACAGCAGGACUCAAGAAAUAUGCCAUCAGUGCUGCCAACCCGAGAGUGAUAGAUGACGCCCGGCCUCGAAAACUGUCCAACGACCUGAAACGCUCCACGUAUUACGAAACCUGCUCCACCUACGGUCUUAGCGUCGAGAGAGUCUUUCAAGACGGAUGGCCGUGAGACUUUUAUCUCCUCAUCUGUGCACGAGAGCUGUGUUUUUCCAGCUGGAAUAUCACUGGCACUCCCUGUUCACUGAUAGCGCUCUCUUCCGCCCACCGCCGUCAUGUGGCAUGAAUGCACGGCAGAGUAAGCUACCCACACAUCUCUUUUGUGUCCCUCUAUCCACCUAGAAAUGCACAUUACAUAAGUAUUUAUCUGCUGUGGCCGCUCUGUAUAUCCGUGAGAGGCUGGGUCCCCCCGGUUCCAGCAGCUUUAUUGCUCCGCGCUCUCCGAUAUCACAGUUGUCACGAUGGAUUUCUCUCGGCGUUGACGGUUGCCGUUUGCUCCUGCGUGUAAUUGCCUCCUCGGGGCUGCGUUUGUAAUAAUUAAAAGACAGAGGCGCGCUUGUUGUCUCUUUGAAAACGCGGACGGAUCCACACCGUCUCCACUUUGCUUUGUUUCGCACGAAAUGUAAAA